AUUUCUCAACCUCACCAGCUUUUGUUGGUCCUGAGGCUUGGAUGUGGGGGUUUUGCUGGCUUCUAACGAGGUCGGCUCCCCUGAAAUGCAUUAGCGGUGCCCUGGUGGACUCGACUAUCAGUGUGAUAAUUAUCUACGCUGUUAGACGACCACGCUUUCAAAGGGGUUGUGCUGCUUCUAACCGUCCGUCCUGGACAACACAAUGACAA
rnacentral:misc_RNA from 1 species